rnacentral:rRNA from 1 species
GAUGAACGCUGGCGGCGUGCUUAACACAUGCAAGUCGAGCGAGUGAGUUCUUCGGAACGAUCUAGCGGCGGACGGGUGAGUAACACGUGGGCAACCUGCCUCAUAGAGGGGAAUAGCCUCCCGAAAGGGAGAUUAAUACCGCAUAAAAUUAUCGAGUGGCAUCACACGGUAAUCAAAGGAGUAAUCCGCUAUGAGAUGGGCCCGCGGCGCAUUAGCUAGUUGGUGAGGUAACGGCUCACCAAGGCGACGAUGCGUAGCCGACCUGAGAGGGUGAUCGGCCACAUUGGGACUGAGACACGGCCCAGACUCCUACGGGAGGCAGCAGUGGGGAAUAUUGCACAAUGGGGGAAACCCUGAUGCAGCAACGCCGCGUGAGUGAUGAAGGUCUUCGGAUUGCAAAGCUCUGUCUUUGGGGACGAUAAUGACGGUACCCAAGGAGGAAGCCACGGCUAACUACGUGCCAGCCGCCGCUGUAA